GGGGAUGUAUAUAUUCGACGGGGAGAAGUAACUUAGAGUGCAAGCCGGUGUUGAUCGAAUCACCGUAAAAGUCGAUCAAAGCAAUAAACGCCAAUAAAGAUUUGGCUGUCCGAUACGUUUACGCGUAAUCGGACCAUUUUGCUAUCGCUUUCUUGGCGGGGGUAGCAAGGUGUCAUAGAAGCCAAGAUGAUAUUGGUAAGAACCGGUCGGCUUACCAAGAUCAGAUCUUAUCGACCGUAUCCUUGGGUUGAUCUCGCUAGCUUCUAAACUUAAGGAGAACCAAUUAGCUAGCUAAGCUUGUAGAUCGCUAAGAAACUUUCUUUUCGGACCCCGGGGAAGAGCCGGGCAUCUCCACCA
rnacentral:tmRNA from 2 species